rnacentral:rRNA from 1 species
AGCGAACGCUGGCGGAAUGCUUAACACAUGCAAGUCGCACGCCCUGCAAGGGGAGUGGCGGACGGGUGAGUAACGCGUAGGAAUAUGUCCAGUGGUGGGGGACAACCCUGGGAAACUGGGGCUUAUACCGCAUAUGGGCUGAGGCCCAAAGCAGUGAUGCGCAUUUGGAGUAGCCUGCGCCCGAUUAGCUUGUUGGUGGGGUAAAGGCUUACCAAGGCGACGAUCGGUAGCUGGUCUGAGAGGACGACCAGCCACACUGGGACUGAGACACGGCCCAGACUCCUACGGGAGGCAGCAGUGGGGAAUAUUGGACAAUGGGCGCAAGCCUGAUCCAGCAAUUCCGCGUGGGUGAAGAAGGUCUUCGGAUUGUAAAGCCCUUUCGACGGUGACGAUGAUGACGGUACCCGUAGAAGAAGCCCCGGCUAACUUCGUGCCAGCCGCCGCGGUAA